ensembl:lncRNA
CACGCUCACACGUCCAAAUUAUUAGGAACAAGCUCACCUUUUACAUUUCCUACAGUUCCAACCUGCGCCUGUGUUUUCAGCAGAACUGAGCGGGUUCUCCAGGGAACCCGGUGCUAAAGGAUGUAGAGCCAUGUUCCAUACAAACCCGCACACAGACACAAACCUGACUCUCAGCUCACUGCGUACCGGGAACCGUCUCACUGCUGCACACAGUGUCCAGCAAAACUCUGUGUGUGUGUGUGUGUGCGCGUGUGUGUGUUUCUGUAGGUGUGUGUGUGCGCGUGUGUGUAUUUCUGUAGGUGCGUGUGUGUGUGUAUGCGCGUGUGUGUGUGUUUCUGUGUGUGUGUUUCUGUAGGUGUGUGCGUGUGAGUGUGUGUGUGCGCGUGUGUGUGUUUCUGUAGGUGUGUGUGUGUGUGUGUGUGUUUCUGUAGGUGUAGGUGUGUGUGUGUGUAUGCGCAUGUGUGUGUGUUUCUGUAGGUGUGUGUGUGUGUGUGUGUGUGUUUCUGUAGGUGUAGGUGUGUGUGUGUGUAUGCGCAUGUGUGUAUGUGUGUGUGUAUGCGCAUGUGUGUGCGUGUGUGUGUGUGUGUGUUUCUGUAAGUGUACGUGUGUGUGUGAUGAUGUGAAACAGGUCCUUAUAAGGUGAUGUGUACACACAGAAGUCUGGGAUGAUUCCGCUGCUCACACACUCUCAUGUACAGGGACGUGAGGACGACGGCUCAGAGGUGCGAGUUCUAAAGUGUCAGAACAUCAGCAUAUG